rnacentral:rRNA from 1 species
CCUACGGGAGGCAGCAGUGGGGAAUCUUGCACAAUGGGGGAAACUCUGAUGCAGCGACGCCGCGUGAGUGAAGAAGUAUUUCGGUAUGUAAAGCUCUAUCAGCAGGGAAGAAAAUGACGGUACCUGAUUAAGAAGCCCCGGCCAACUACGUGCCAGCAGCCGCGGUAAUACGUAGGGGGCAAGCGUUAUCCGGAUUUACUGGGUGUAAAGGGAGCGUAGACGGCAGAACAAGUCUGGAGUGAAAUCCCGGGGCUUAACCCCGGAACUGCUUUGGAAACUGUGCAGCGAGAGUGCAGGAGAGGUGAGUGGAAUGCCAAGUGUAGCGGUGGAAUGCGUAGAUAUUAGGAGGAACACCAGUGGCGAAGGCGGCUUACUGGACUGUAACUGACGUUGAGGCUCGAAAGCGUGGGGAGCAAACAGGAUUAGAUACCCCUGUAGUC